GCCGCCAUGGUGAAAUUGGUAGACACGCUGCUUUU
rnacentral:tRNA from 1 species